rnacentral:rRNA from 1 species
CCUACGGUGGGCAGCAGUGGGGAAUAUUGGGCAAUGGGCGCAAGCCUGACCCAGCAACGCCGCGUGAGGGAAGAAGGCUUUCGGGUUGUAAACUUCUUUUCUCAGGGACGAAGCAAGUGACGGUCCCAGUGGUCUACGCCGCGGCUAAAUACGGUCCCGCCGCCGAGGUCAUACGUAGGUGGCAAGCGUUAUCCGGUUGUACUGGGUGUAAAGGGCGUGUAGGCGGGACUGCACGUCAUGUGUGAAACCCACGGGCUCAACCUGUGGCCUGCAUUUGAAACUGGAGUGCUUGAGUACUGGAGAGGCAGACGGAAUUCCUAGUGUAGCGGUGAAAGGCGUAGAUAUUAGGAGGAACACCAGUGGCGAAGGCGGUCUGCUGGACGGCAACUGACGCUGAGGCGCGAAAGCGUGGGGAGCAAACAGGAUUAGAUACCCUGGUAGUC